rnacentral:lncRNA from 1 species
CAGUGUAUGGAGACAAAGGCCUUGUAGUCAGCAAUUCUGCUUUGUCAAAAGUAGAAUCAACAACAGAAGAGGCUGCCUUAGUGUGUUCGCUGUCUUCUGCUCCAGUUGCACCUUCUUGACGACCACCGGGAGGAAUUGGACUAGGAGAUGUAGGUGGCUUUAAAUCUUCAUAACUGCCAAGAUUAAAUCAGUCAGCAAAUAAGAUACACUAUGCUUGCGUGUAAGUAGUUGAACUAACUCAGGAAUGACUUAACGCAGUGUAUGGAGACAAAGGCCUUGUAGUCAGCAAUUCUACUUUGUCAAAAGUAGAAUCAACAACAGAAGAAACUGCUUUAGUAGGUUCACCAUCUUCUGCUCCACUUGAACCUUCUUGACGACCUCCGGGAGGAUUUGGACUAGGAGAUGUAGGUGGCUUUAAAUCUUCAUAACUGCCAACAUUGAAUCAGUCAGCAAAUAAAAUACACUAUACUUGCGUGUAAGUAGUUGGACUAACUCAGGAAUGACUUAACGCAGCAUAUGGAGACGAAGGUCUUGUAGUCAGCAAUUCUGCUUUGUC